UACGUAGGGUGCGAGCGUUGUCCGGAAUUAUUGGGCGUAAAGAGCUCGUAGGCGGUUUGUCGCGUCGGAUGUGAAAGCCCGGGGCUUAACUCCGGGUCUGCAUUCGAUACGGGCAGGCUAGAGUUCGGUAGGGGAGAUCGGAAUUCCUGGUGUAGCGGUGAAAUGCGCAGAUAUCAGGAGGAACACCGGUGGCGAAGGCGGAUCUCUGGGCCGAUACUGACGCUGAGGAGCGAAAGAGUGGGGAGCGAACAGG
rnacentral:rRNA from 1 species